CCCUGCUUGCUCUCUCUCAAAAUAAAUAAACUUAAAAAAAAAAAAAGACUGAGAACAGUGCCUGGUGCAUCAUAAGCUGUCUUUACGAUGGUUAGAUACUAUUUCUAGCAUUAUUAUUGAUAGCAGUAGUAGUAGAAAAUGUUUUUUUAUGCGGUGAAAUCAAAAGUCGUUGACCCUACAUUAGGACCCGGUUUUUUUAAUUUGAUUGAUCUGUGAAGUCCCUCCGUCUCACAACCCCUGCUUUUAACCACUGUGCUUUGUGUAUGAAGUGCUUGGCUCCCCGCCCCUCGGACAAUCCUUCUCAAUCACAGUAAAGAAAGGAAGGUGAUUCACCGAGUGUCCCCUCCUCACCCAGGAUGAAACGCUCAGCUCACUGCCCGGAAGCCGGCACACACAUCGAGGUCCCACGCACGGAGCCUGCCCCCAAGAUAGUGCGGGAGGUGUGUGUGGCCCGGAGACGGAGGCAGAGGAGCAAGCGGGACGGUGGAGGACGAGCCCAGCCCAGCCCCUGGUUCCCCAGGAAGCAGAUGGAUGCGGCGGACCGGGAAGCCCCAAGUCCGCACCUUGCUGCCCCCACCCCACCUCUCCACGGGCCUCCCCUCACCUAGCCCUGCCUCCUCGGAGCCCCCAAGCCCUGGUUCCCGGCUCGGACACCAGCGUGCGGUCCCGUGACGCGCCUGUGUUCACCUGAGAGCACGCGGAGCCCGUGCCCACAGACGUGCCGCCACAGAAGCCCACGGGGCUCUUCCAGAACGCGCCGAGGGCGCCUUCUCGGCCGCCGGAAGGCCAGUCCGCAGUGAGUGGGUGUUGCAUCCCCUUCCGUGGAGACCAAGGGGCAGAGCUUGUUGGACAGGCGUCGCCCUGUCCAUCCGGGCGUCCCGAGGCUGCCUCACGGGACACAGCGCCAGCGGAGAGGGAGGUAGGCACCUCACUGGCCCUGCGUGUGGGAAGUGGGGGUGAAUUUGUACCAAGGAUAUGGUGCUCCCGAGAGAGAGUUGCUCUGGAGACCCAGGUCUCUGUUAGCUUCUCCCCGAGUUGAGCACAGGGUGGGGACAGGCCUCCGAGCGGAGGGGGGUGACAUCAGAGCACAGGGAAGAGAGGCCAGAGCUCAAGUCGGGGGCCCGCUCCGAGGGAGUCCACACCGUGGGCCCCGAAUUGGAUUCUUCCCUCUGUCCCUGCAGUCAUUUUCAUUCCCGCUCAGUCUCUGCCCUCCCCUCCGCUAAUACCCUCACGCUCACCUCCUCACCCUCUGCCUCAUUUAUCCUCUUAUCUGUGAAGCACGGGCGGCAGGCACUGGGGGUGCGUGAAGGGGAGCAGAAGACAAGGCCCCCACCCUCGGCGCACUGACGGUCUAGUUGGGAAGAUAAGGCAGGCCCACGCGAGAAGAGAACUAGCGGGGCGCCUGGGUGGCUCAGUCGGUUAAGCGUCCGACUUCGGAUGGGGUCACGAUCUCGCGGUCCGUGGGUUCGGGCCGCACGUCGGGCUUUCUGCUGUCAGCACGGAGCCCGCUUCGUAUCCUCUGUCCCCCUCUCUCUGCUCUGCCCUCACUUGCACUCUCUCUCCCUUAAAAUAAAUACAUUUUUAAAAAGAGAGACAACUAGUAAGUCAAAUGUGGCAGGGCACGUUGGGUUUGGGCAGGUUCUAAGCCAGUAUGGCUCUAUGACCUUCUUGCUCCGAGUCUAAAAGGCCACCCACCAGACUGUCCCAGGAAGGGGCAGGAGGAGGUAGGAGGCCCAGGGCCUUUCCCCAGCUGAGGCUCAUCCCCUAACAUUAAAGGUCAGGGACCCUGAGCACUGUGCUGCCCAGUGACCUCUCAGAAUGUUCCAGCCAUCCUCAGCACACAGGUCUGCCAUUGAGCGAGUGCCUCACUGAACAGUGCCUUGCUCAGAACAAAAGCACUGUGGCAGAGCGGUUUCUGGAUCGCUGGACUUUUUUUUUUUUUAAGUUUAUUUAUUUAUUUUGAGAAAGAGCAUGAGCAGGGGGGAACAGAGAGAGGGAGAGAGAGAGAAUCUCAAGCAGGCUCUGCACUGCCAGUGCAGAGCCCGAAGUGGGGCUCGAACCCACGACCCUGAAAUCAUGACCUGAGCCGAAAUCAAGAGUCGGACACUUAACUGACAGCCAUCCAGGCACCCCUCGGAUCGCUGGACUUUUUGACGGUGAUGCCUUGAUUCUCAUCCACGGUCGUAAGUACGGUGGGCCGCUCUUACAGGCCCUGGAUACAAAUUCCAAGGUUGCUGUAGAGACCUGACCCACCCUGCCCCAAAGACAGUGCUCUUUAAAAAAAUUUUUUUUUAAUGUUUUAUUUAUUUUUGAGACAGAGACAGAGCAUGAGCAGGGGAGGGGCAGAGAGAGCGAGACACAGAAUCCAAAGCACAGAGCCCAACGCGGGGCUCGAACUCACGAACCGUGAGAUCAUGACCUGAGCCGAAGUCGGACGCUCAACCGACUGAGCCACCCAGGUGCCCCAAGAUGGGGCUCUUACAGGUAAGAGAGGGCAGUGGGCUUCUAGGGGGCUACCCUGUUUUCGGGCCUUUAGAAACACAAGGUAUUAGGCCCAGAAGGCAAAAUCUUAUCUUCCUGUCUUCUGGGACUGAAGAACAUCUGCCAAGAAACAGGACAACAGAGGAAACAAAGUGUAUCCCAACUAAUAAAGCACGGAACAGUUACAGGGCCUUUUCUUCCCAGUUUCAUGGGUUUACACAAGUAAGAUCGGCUAGGCCCUUUUCUCAAGCCGUGCCCAGAAAAGAACAAUUAGGGCUGUCAUCACGAAUGAAGAUUUGUGGAAAUCCCCAAAGCAGUGAUUUGGCUCUUUGUUGCUAAAGGGCCUUUGCGGGUGGGGAAGCGUAUUCCAGCCAACAGCAUCGGACACCGAGGGUACACAGAUAUGCCAGGGAGACCCUUAGCAAUUAGCUGAGAGCCAGACUCUGGGUAUCUGACGUCCACAUCGACAUAACCUGGGAAGAAAAAGCUCUGUAACUGCUCCUUGUGUCCUGUGUCUCACAAAAGGCUGGUAUAAAAAUUUGUGUUCUCGGGUCACAGAAGUAUCAGCACGAGGGGAAAUCUUGGAAAAGCAAGUGGUGCUCAGCGCUCAGCCCCCACCCCCUACCUUCAUCCAGAAGCUUCUUGUCGAGGAUGGCUGGCUCCAAUCCCAGCCACUCGUCACCUUCCCUUGGAAGGGAGCGAGUGGCAGCUGCUGAGAGGGGUAAGCCAGCACUUGGUUCUCACGGUGGCGGUGGCGUUAAGCCGGUUCUCCUCUCUGCUUUCAGAAAAUACCUUCAGAGCGAUCAGUGUCUUUGUUGAGCUUUGUAAGGCCUGUUGUCUUUGCAGUGCUCUGGAAAGACCUUAGUUGCGAUCCCUCAUUCUAAGAGGGAACCCCCAGGCCGCUCCCUGCACUUGGUUACACGCUGGGCCUCAGGGGCCCCCGACGCCACACUUGGGUGACUUUUGGGGACCUAGGGGUAGACUGGCCAGCCACUCGAGGGGUGCGUGCAGUGCCGGCAACGAUCCCUUCCGCAUGUGCGGGACUGUGGGUGCAAACCAUUUCACGGACACGACUUCGUGGCAGUUUCAUAUCCGCAGGGACGUGUGCGGGGCACAUACUAUCCUCACGUGAGAGAUGGGAGACCUGAGGCUCAGAGCAGUGAAGUGACUUGCGUAAGGUCACACAGCCGACGGGCGGUGGGGCCGCCUGACACAUCAGCCCUCCUGGCGCUGAGGCUCCACGGCACACGUCAGCCCUUCGGGAAAGGAGCCGUCCUGGGUCGGGCGUCCUGUGCAUCCUAGAAGGUUUAGAAGCACUGCUGGCCUCGUUCCACUAGGUGUCAGCAGCGCCCCAGGAAAAGUAAACUUUCCGCGGCGGGGCGGGGCUGAAGCACGGCUUUCUGUCCCUCGCUCUGCAGCGCGGCCAGGCAGGAAUGGGCCCGUCACCAUCUCCUGCUUCCCGCCCUGCAGGGGCUCCCAGCUGCCCCAGGAAGCGAGUCUGACAGCCCGAAGGAGACAGACCAGGCCCCUCGGGUUCUGGGCGCUGCCGGCCUCUCCAGUCCCUCUUCCCCCCUCCUUCCCGCCCCACGCUCCGCUCCAGGGCACAACCGCUCAUAGCUCUUUCCCACACGGCCGUGCCAGUCUGUGCGCCCACGCUCGUGCCCUUUCUCUGCGUGCCGUGCCCUCCCCCUCGCUUGCUUAGCUCGCAAAUCCUACCCAACCUUCAAGACGUGCGUAGCAGCGUAGGCAUCGCCCGGAAACUUACCCUAAGCCCGUGGCCUUCCCCUCCCCCCUCCUCAAGCCCCACCUCCGUGCUCCCGUACCUUCUGCAGCUUCCGUUCGGAGCACGCCUCACCCCAUCCUGUCAACUGCCCUUCACGCUACUGGGAGCUCCUGAAGGGCGGGGCUGUGUCUUAUUCGAGUCUGAGGCACAGUGCCUGGCAGGCAGCAUUUACUCAGCGGUGUUUACAGACGCGAACCCCCGAGAACAGAUGAAAGCACGCUGGGUUGGGAGUGAGAACACCAGGAGUCUGCUCCCACUUGCGCGCCAGCUGAUUGCUUCCCGCCCCUGAGCCUCUGUUUCCUCCUCUGAGGAACGGGAGCUUGGACGAAAUGUCUAAGGGUCCUUAGAAAUUGGGUUGCUGGGGCGCCUGGGUGGCUGUCGGCUAAGCGUCCUGAGCCCCGCAUCCGGCUCUGCGCUGACAGCGCAAAGCCUGCUUGGGGUUCUCUCUCUGCCCCUCCCCUGCCCGCGCCUGCGCACGCGCUCUGUCUCAAAACACACACACACACACACACACACACACACACACACACACACACAUUUAAAAAAAAGAAAAAGGAAUUGGACUGCUGAUUCUAGAAGGUUUUCUCAUAAAUGUUCCACUUAAAAAUGCUUCCCAAAGGGCAGGAUCAUCCUCUUCCUCCCCUUCUGAAAGUGUAGGACCUUUAACCUUUUUCAAAGUCUUUUCCUAUCGACUGUUAUUUGACCCUAGAAAUAACUACAGCAGCCUGGCAGACGUAAUUUCAAGCAAGAACCAUUCUUCCAAACAAGUGACGUAAAGGUAAACUGUGUGUCAGCUGUUACGCGCUUACCGACGUGUUUGUAUGUAUGCGCACACAGAGAGACCCUUCAGGGUGGUGUGUCGAUGGGGAGGGGCUGGGCAGGGCGUUGGAACAAGUCUUUUCACUGAAUACCUUAUAUUGUUAGAUGUUUGAGCUGUGUGACUAUUUAAAAAAUUAAAGAUAGUGAAUAAAACCAAAUGAAUGGCGUCA